AAAGAAUGCCUCAACACAAUAAAAGUCAUACACAACAGACUCACAGCUAGUAUCGUAUUAAAUGGGGAAAAACUAAAAGCCUUUCCUCUGAGAUCUGGAACAUGACAAGGAUGCCCACUUUCACUACUCUUAUUCACCAUAGUACUGGUAUUAUUAGCCAGAGGAAUCAAGCAAGAGAAAGAAAUAAAAGGCAUCCAAA